CCUACGUGAGGCAGCAGUGAGGAAUAUUGGUCAAUGGACGCAAGUCUGAACCAGCCAUGCCGCGUGCAGGAAGACGGCUCUAUGAGUUGUAAACUGCUUUUGUACGAGGGUAAACGCAGAUACGCGUAUCUGUCUGAAAGUAUCGUACGAAUAAGGAUCGGCUAACUCCGUGCCAGCAGCCGCGGUAAUACGGAGGAUUCAAGCGUUAUCCGGAUUUAUUGGGUUUAAAGGGUGCGUAGGCGGUCGGAUAAGUUAGAGGUGAAAUCCCGGGGCUCAACUUCGGAAUUGCCUCUGAUACUGUUCGGCUAGAGAGUAGUAGAGGUAGGCGGAAUGUAUGGUGUAGCGGUGAAAUGCUUAGAGAUCAUAAAGAACACCGAUUGCGAAGGCAGCUUACCGAGCUACUUCUGACGUUGAGGCACGAAAGCGUGGGGAGCAAACAGGAUUAGAUACCCCUGUAGUC
rnacentral:rRNA from 1 species